CGUGAGCCUCUCCUCACACUGGGCGCCCUGCCUCCUUGGAGCUCCAAGCCCUUGCUCCUGGCCCGGAUGCUGGCGCAUGGUCCUGCAGUGCUCGGGCGUUCACCUGAGGGAGCAUGCAACGUGUGCACAAGGACGUGCUGCCAGGUUUCCUUCCAGACCACGCUGAGGGAGCCCCUUCCUGAUGGCCGCUUGAUGAAGCCUCCUGUUGAGGGCAGCUGGUUUCAGUCCCAUCCGCUUACGUUCCUUCAGAAGAGGACAAGUGGCAACUGCUGAGACAGUGCUCUGUUAAUAACCUUAGUCGUGACCAUUUUCUAAGAGGGAACCUAAGAUGGCUGCUGUCACCUAUUUGGUUUUGCACUGGGCCUGAUGCUCCUCCCGACAUCACAUUUGGG